CACGUAGGGUGCGAGCGUUGUCCGGAAUUAUUGGGCGUAAAGAGCUCGUAGGCGGUCUGUCGCGUCGGCUGUGAAAACCCGGGGCUCAACCCCGGGCCUGCAGUCGAUACGGGCAGACUAGAGUGUGGUAGGGGAGACUGGAAUUCCUGGUGUAGCGGUGGAAUGCGCAGAUAUCAGGAGGAACACCGAUGGCGAAGGCAGGUCUCUGGGCCACUACUGACGCUGAGAAGCGAAAGCAUGGGGAGCGAACAGG
rnacentral:rRNA from 1 species